rnacentral:rRNA from 1 species
AUUGAACGCUGGCGGUAUGCCUUACACAUGCAAGUCGAACGGUAGAGGGGCAACCCUUGAGAGUGGCGAACGGGUGAGUAAUACAUCGGAACGUGCCCAGUCGUGGGGGAUAACGUAGCGAAAGCUACGCUAAUACCGCAUACGACCUGAGGGUGAAAGCGGGGGAUCGCAAGACCUCGCGCGAUUGGAGCGGCCGAAGGCAGAUUAGGUAGUUGGUGGGGUAAAGGCAUACCAAGUCUGCGAUCUGUAUCUGGUCUGAGAGGACGACAAGCCACACUGGGACUGAGUCACGGCCCGGACUCCUACGGAAGGCAGCAGUGGGGAAUUUUGGACAAUGGGCGAAAGCCUGAUCCAGCCAGACCGCGUGCGGGAAGAAGUCCUUCGGGUUGUAAACCGCUUUUUUCAGGGAAGAAAUCUUCUGGGUUAAUACCUCGGGAGGAUGACGGUACCUGAAGAAUAAGCACCGGCUAACUACGUGCCAGCAGCCGCCGUAACAC